rnacentral:rRNA from 1 species
UGGGGAAUCUUGGACAAUGGGGGCAACCCUGAUCCAGCCAUGCCGCGUGAGUGAUGAAGGCCUUAGGGUCGUAAAGCUCUUUCGCCUGUGAAGAUAAUGACGGUAGCAGGUAAAGAAACCCCGGCUAACUCCGUGCCAGCAGCCGCGGUAAUACGGAGGGGGUUAGCGUUGUUCGGAAUUACUGGGCGUAAAGCGCACGUAGGCGGACCAGAAAGUUGGGGGUGAAAUCCCGGGGGCUCAACCCCGGAACUGCCUCCAAAACUAUUGGUCUAGAGUUCGAGAGAGGUGAGUGGAAUUCCAAGUGUAGAGGUGAAAUUCGUAGAUAUUUGGAGGAACACCAGUGGCGAAGGCGGCUCACUGGCUCGAUACUGACGCUGAGGUGCGAAAGUGUGGGGAGCAAACAGGAUUAGAUACCCUGGUAGUCCACACCGUAAAACGAUGAAUGCCAGUCGUCGGAUAGCAUGCUAUUCGGUGACACA